UGGGCUGGGGCUUCUUCGUACCUCCUGGAAGGUAGAACCCCGGAGGGGGCGAUGCAAACUUAAAAACGGAGACGAGCAGGUGAUCGUUCCCUGCGCUCUUCUUUCCUCUUCUCUUCUCCUCUCCUCUGCUUCCCACCGCGCACAAACCGACCUAAAACUAAAAGAUUUAUUCAUAGAAAGAAAGCGAAAGAAGAAGCUACUCUCUCUCUUUUUUGGAAGAGGGAGGGAGGAAGAACUAGGGUUAGUGAUUCUUCUCCUUUCCACUCUCGGUCCCUCGCUUCGCUGCGCCGAUGGAGUCUUGGAGCUUCCCCGACGACAACGUCGCCAAUCUUGUGGAGAGCCGGAGGAUCGAAUCCCUCCCGGAUGCAAACCGCAGAUUGCAAUUACACUUAUCCUUGAUACAAAGGCUUGCCUUGGAGGAAGUUAUGGAGGGCCAUCAAAGUUGUGUUAAUGCAAUUGCUUGGAACUCAAAAGGCUCUCUUCUAAUAUCUGGAUCAGAUGAUACAAGAAUUAAUAUAUGGAAUUACAACAACUGGAGACUUUUGCAUAGUAUUGAAACUGGGCAUUCCUCCAACAUAUUUUGCACAAAAUUUGUUCCUGAGACAUCUGAUGAACUUGUUGUGUCAGGGGCAGGAGACGCAGAGGUUCGACUUUUCAAUAUAUCUCGUUUAAGUGGGAAAAGUUCUGAAGAAAUUGCUCUAGAACCUGCAGCAUUGUACCGGUGUCACUCAAGGAGGGUCAAGAAGCUAGCUGUUGAAGUUGGAAAUCCUAAUGUUGUAUGGAGUGCGAGUGAGGAUGGGACUUUAAGACAGCAUGACUUUCGUGAAGGUGUUUCAUGCCCGCCCGCUGGAUCUUCAAAUCAGGAAUGUCGUAAUGUACUUCUUGAUCUUAGGUGUGGGGCAAAGAAAUCAUUGGCUGAUUCUCCUAAGCAGUGUCUGGCAUUGAAGUCUUGUGACAUCAGUUCCACUCGUCCCCACCAACUUCUUGUUGGUGGCAGUGAUGCAUUUGCACGAUUGUAUGAUCGGAGAAUGCUUCCACCUUUGAGCUCUUGCCAGUCGAAAAUGAAGCCGCCACCUUGUGUUAAUUAUUUCUGUCCAAUGCAUCUUUCUGAGCGUAGAAAAUCAAGCUUGCAUCUGACACAUGUAACGUUCAGCCCAAACGGUGAAGAGGUGCUCUUGAGUUAUAGCGGCGAACAUGUUUACUUAAUGGAUGUUAACCAUGAUGGCCAGGGUAGUACAAGAUACACUGCUGAUGAUGUUCCAAAGCAAUUGUAUAUAGCUCCUUUACUUAAAGAAACAAAAGUACCUUCAGCACCAGCAUCUUCCUCUGACAACUUGCCUGAAACAAAAUAUGAUUUGAGGAGGCUUGACAUGUGCAAGAAACUGGUUCAAGACGCAGCAAAAGCUUUGGAUGAUGGCUUGAACUUAUUUUAUGGAAUAGAAGCGUGUAAUGAAGUACUGGACGGAAAAGGUCCUGAGAUUGGCCUUGCACUGAGACAUGAAUGCUUGUGUAUUCGAGCAUCGUUGCUUCUUAAGAGGAAGUGGAAAAAUGAUGUUCACAUGGCUGUAAGGGAUUGUAACAAAGCUCGAUUUAUAGAUCCUUCAUCAUAUAAGGCACACUAUUACAUGUCAGAAGCACUUCUCCAGUUAGGGAAAAAUAAAGAAGCUUUAGAGUUUGCACAAGCGGCUCAUAAUUUGGCUCCGUCAAACUCUGAUGCUGCUCAAAUGGUAGAGCGAAUAAAAGAUCGUCUUGCUGCAGCUGAAGCUGAGAAAAGCAAAAAGGACAAUGAAGCAAUAACUAAGAGUGAAGGGCGACAUGGAAGGUUAAGAUCACUGGGUGAUGUACUCAUUCAGUCAGAGCUGAGUAGCCCAUCUCAAGAGGAUUGGUAUGGUAGAGAGUUUUCUGAUUAUGAGGAAGAAAUGGAGCUGGACUUUGAAACGCCAGUAUCAGGAGACGAGGGUCGUGAUAAUGACUCAAACAUUCUUCGAGGAAGUUUAAAUUUGAGGUUUCAUCGAAGAGAUGACUCAGCUAGAGAAAACUGCAGUACGGAUGGUUCACAUGGAUCUCCUUCAUCUUCCUCUCAACAUGAAGAUUCUUCUUAUCAGCCUGAAGCUGCGAUUGAUAUGAAACAAAGAUUUAUUGGCCACUGCAAUGUGGGGACAGAUAUAAAGCAAGCUAGCUUUCUUGGACAACAAGGAGCAUUUGUUGCUAGUGGAAGUGAUGAUGGAAGGUGGUUUAUUUGGGAGAAGAGAACAGGAAGGCUUAUUAAAAUGCUUGCUGGAGAUGAAGCUGUUGUGAACUGUGUACAAUGUCAUCCGUUUGAUUGUGCUAUUGCAACUAGUGGAAUUGAUAACACAGUUAAGAUGUGGACACCACUUGCAGAAGUUCCAUCGAUGGUUGCAGGAGGAACAGCAGGACCAGAGACUGCAGAUGUGUUGAGUGCUAUAGAAAACAAUCAGCGCAAAUUGUGCCGCAACCGUGAAGAUAUGCUGUCAUAUAUCAUGCAGGCCAUUCGAAUUCUUGGAGCGGUUUAGGAUGCCUGAGUUUGCUGAAGGAACUCUACAUCCUUUUGAAUGUGCCCAGAGCUAAUAUGUCAACACUCAGCAUGACUGAAACCAGAAAGCUUUGAUUGUUGAUAAUUGAAGCUGUUUGAGAAAGGAAUUGGAGCGACCUGGUAUCUGAGAUUGCUGCAGUAGGAGCAAAGCAUCCACGCAAUGUGGUUUCACAUUUUGGCGAUAUGCAUCAUAUCAUAGGGGCUGAUUGCAUCACUACUGGUUAUGUUACCAGAAAAUCCCAAGGCUUAGAAUUUGGAGUUGUUCAUGUACAGCGAGUGUUCCGAGUUCUUAUGUUAAUAAACAUCGUCAUGGUGAUUUUGUGGGCAUAUUUUCCACCCGCUGGUAUCUUUAAAUGUAGAUUUAUAGUUUUGCGGACCAUCAGUGCUUUCAAGACUAUGGUUUCAGUGUUAGAACAGCUCUAACCUUUGUACAGAGAACACAACAUAAUAUUUGGUUCAUUCUUUAACGCAA